CUUUCAUAUAAAUUGCACAUUGGUAAGGAGCAGACACUGAUAACCUUAUGAUCUAAAUAAAAUUGGCAAGAAUAGGCACUGGGGACUGGAGGCAGCCAUCUUUGUUUCCCACAGGGUUACAGCUGGAUUGCCAUGGUCUGCUGUAUAUCUUUUUCUAAAAUGUAACAGGAUUAAUCAUUUCCUUUUUAUUUUAAACUAAAAAUCAGCAGCAUAUCAAUACUAAAUUAAAGGGGUAAUAGAGGUUCCACAUGUAGAUUAGAUUACAAAUUACCAUUUAUAAAUGUGUGUUGCUCCAUAAUCUCACACUACCCUUUUUCCCCCUUGAAACCCUAAAGUGCAUUUUUUCUUUCUGUACCAAAAGGUACUGCUAUACAGGAUGUCAUGACUAAGCUUUCAAUAUUAUAAAUCAAACAAAUUGAGCUACAACUCCCAGAAACACUCCCAUGGCCACAAAGUUCUGCUUAUAGGUUAAGGUCAGCAGAGAUAUAGAAUGCUAAAGGACCACUAAAGUGCCAGGAAAACAAACUUGUUUUCCUGGCACUAUUAGGGUCUUUAGGUCCCCGUCCC